GGUUAAGCGACUAAGCGUACACGGUGGAUGCCCUGGCAGUCAGAGGCGAUGAAGGACGUGCUAAUCUGCGAAAAGCGUCGGUAAGGUGAUAUGAACCGUUAUAACCGGCGAUGUCCGAAUGGGGAAACCCAGUGCAAUUCGUUGCACUAUCGUUAACUGAAUACAUAGGUUAACGAGGCGAACCGGGGGAACUGAAACAUCUAAGUACCCCGAGGAAAAGAAAUCAACCGAGAUUCCCCCAGUAGCGGCGAGCGAACGGGGAGCAGCCCAGAGUCUGAAUCAGCUUGUGUGUUAGUGGAACGGUCUGGAAAGUCCGACGGUACAGGGUGAUAGUCCCGUACACCAAAAUGCACAGGUUGUGAACUCGAAGAGUAGGGCGGGACACGUGGUAUCCUGUCUGAAUAUGGGGGGACCAUCCUCCAAGGCUAAAUACUCCUGACUGACCGAUAGUGAACCAGUACCGUGAGGGAAAGGCGAAAAGAACCCCGGCGAGGGGAGUGAAAAAGAACCUGAAACCGUGUACGUACAAGCAGUGGGAGCACCUUCGGGUGUGACUGCGUACCUUUUGUAUAAUGGGUCAGCGACUUAUAUUCUGUAGCAAGGUUAACCGUAUAGGGGAGCCGCAGGGAAACCGAGUCUUAACUGGGCGUUAAGUUGCAGGGUAUAGACCCGAAACCCGGUGAUCUAGCCAUGGGCAGGUUGAAGGUUGGGUAACACUAACUGGAGGACCGAACCGACUAAUGUUGAAAAAUUAGCGGAUGACUUGUGGCUGGGGGUGAAAGGCCAAUCAAACCGGGAGAUAGCUGGUUCUCCCCGAAAGCUAUUUAGGUAGCGCCUCGUGAACUCAUCUUCGGGGGUAGAGCACUGUUUCGGCUAGGGGGUCAUCCCGACUUACCAACCCGAUGCAAACUACGAAUACCGAAGAAUGUUAUCACGGGAGACACACGGCGGGUGCUAACGUCCGUCGUGAAGAGGGAAACAACCCAGACCGCCAGCUAAGGUCCCAAAGUCAUGGUUAAGUGGGAAACGAUGUGGGAAGGCACAGACAGCCAGGAUGUUGGCUUAGAAGCAGCCAUCAUUUAAAGAAAGCGUAAUAGCUCACUGGUCGAGUCGGCCUGCGCGGAAGAUGUAACGGGGCUAAACCAUGCACCGAAGCUGCGGCAGCGACACUAUGUGUUGUUGGGUAGGGGAGCGUUCUGUAAGCCUGCGAAGGUGACCUGUGAGGGUUGCUGGAGGUAUCAGAAGUGCGAAUGCUGACAUAAGUAACGAUAAAGCGGGUGAAAAGCCCGCUCGCCGGAAGACCAAGGGUUCCUGUCCAACGUUAAUCGGGGCAGGGUGAGUCGACCCCUAAGGCGAGGCCGAAAGGCGUAGUCGAUGGGAAACAGGUUAAUAUUCCUGUACUUGGUGUUACUGCGAAGGGGGGACGGAGAAGGCUAUGUUAGCCGGGCGACGGUUGUCCCGGUUUAAGCAUGUAGGCUGGUUGUCCAGGCAAAUCCGGAUAAUCAAGGCUGAGGUGUGAUGACGAGGCACUACGGUGCUGAAGUAACAAAUGCCCUGCUUCCAGGAAAAGCCUCUAAGCAUCAGGUAACAUCAAAUCGUACCCCAAACCGACACAGGUGGUCAGGUAGAGAAUACCAAGGCGCUUGAGAGAACUCGGGUGAAGGAACUAGGCAAAAUGGUGCCGUAACUUCGGGAGAAGGCACGCUGGUGUGUAGGUGAAGCCCCUGCGGGUGGAGCUGAGACCAGUCGAAGAUACCAGCUGGCUGCAACUGUUUAUUAAAAACACAGCACUGUGCAAACACGAAAGUGGACGUAUACGGUGUGACGCCUGCCCGGUGCCGGAAGGUUAAUUGAUGGGGUUAUCCGUAAGGAGAAGCUCUUGAUCGAAGCCCCGGUAAACGGCGGCCGUAACUAUAACGGUCCUAAGGUAGCGAAAUUCCUUGUCGGGUAAGUUCCGACCUGCACGAAUGGCGUAAUGAUGGCCAGGCUGUCUCCACCCGAGACUCAGUGAAAUUGAACUCGCUGUGAAGAUGCAGUGUACCCGCGGCAAGACGGAAAGACCCCGUGAACCUUUACUAUAGCUUGACACUGAACAUUGAGCCUUGAUGUGUAGGAUAGGUGGGAGGCUUUGAAGCGUGGACGCCAGUCUGCGUGGAGCCAACCUUGAAAUACCACCCUUUAAUGUUUGAUGUUCUAACGUUGGCCCCUGACCGGGGUUGCGGACAGUGUCUGGUGGGUAGUUUGACUGGGGCGGUCUCCUCCCAAAGCGUAACGGAGGAGCACGAAGGUUAGCUAAUCCUGGUCGGACAUCAGGAGGUUAGUGCAAUGGCAUAAGCUAGCUUGACUGCGAGCGUGACGGCGCGAGCAGGUGCGAAAGCAGGUCAUAGUGAUCCGGUGGUUCUGAAUGGAAGGGCCAUCGCUCAACGGAUAAAAGGUACUCCGGGGAUAACAGGCUGAUACCGCCCAAGAGUUCAUAUCGACGGCGGUGUUUGGCACCUCGAUGUCGGCUCAUCACAUCCUGGGGCUGAAGUAGGUCCCAAGGGUAUGGCUGUUCGCCAUUUAAAGUGGUACGCGAGCUGGGUUUAGAACGUCGUGAGACAGUUCGGUCCCUAUCUGCCGUGGGCGCUGGAGAAUUGAGGGGGGCUGCUCCUAGUACGAGAGGACCGGAGUGGACGCAUCACUGGUGUUCGGGUUGUCAUGCCAAUGGCACUGCCCGGUAGCUAAAUGCGGAAGAGAUAAGUGCUGAAAGCAUCUAAGCACGAAACUUGCCCCGAGAUGAGUUCUCCCUGAGACUUUAAGUCUCCUGAAGGAACGUUAAAGACGAUGACGUUGAUAGGCCGGGUGUGUAAGCGCAGCGAUGCGUUGAGCUAACCGGUACUAAUGAACCGUGAGGCUUAACCUU
rnacentral:rRNA from 1 species